UACGAAGGGGGCUAGCGUUGCUCGGAAUCACUGGGCGUAAAGGGUGCGUAGGCGGGUCUUUAAGUCAGGGGUGAAAUCCUGGAGCUCAACUCCAGAACUGCCUUUGAUACUGAGGAUCUUGAGUUCGGGAGAGGUGAGUGGAACUGCGAGUGUAGAGGUGAAAUUCGUAGAUAUUCGCAGGAACACCAGUGGCGAAGGCGGCUAACUGGUCCAUAACUGACGCUGAGGUGCGAAAGCGUGGGGAGCAAACAGG
rnacentral:rRNA from 1 species